AUACAGAGGGUGCAAGCGUUAAUCGGAAUUACUGGGCGUAAAGCGCGCGUAGGCGGUUUAUUAAGUCGGAUGUGAAAGCCCUGGGCUUAACCUGGGAACGGCAUUCGAAACUGGUAGACUAGAGUAUGAUAGAGGAAAGUGGAAUUCCAGGUGUAGCGGUGAAAUGCAUAGAUAUAUGGAGGAACAUCAGUGGCGAAGGCGGCUUUCUGGAUCAAUACUGACGCUGAGGUGCGAAAGCGUGGGGAGCAAACAGGAUUAGAAACCCCGGUAGUCC
rnacentral:rRNA from 1 species